CGCACGCUCGUGUCGAUAUCAGUGUAAAAGCUGUACGCGAGAAUUGAUUAUGAUGGACAUUGUGGAUCGGGAUCUUGUCGCGAGCAAAUUCUGUGAGGUGUAACUACCAAUAAAGAAAGAUGGAAGUGUAUCUGCUGGUCCUUCCCGGAGUACGCGUUAUAUUCAUAUACGCAAAUAUAUUCAACUAUUUUAAAGUAUAUAUCGCUAUCUACAUAUAUAUGUAAUUUCGUUUCUAUACCAAUACAUUUAUAUAUGCACUUAUAUAUUUACAUAUAUAUACAUAUAUAUAUAUCUCUAAUAUAAUCCUGGAAAAAAUGAUGAACAACAUUCGAUUCCUAAAAAGUAAAAUGAUCGGAGGGAUACAGAUAUGGAUAUGGAAAACGAUCGAUGUUGGAAAUCAAGAAGAUAAAAGGAUUCAAAAGCAGAAAGGAAAGAUGAAAGAAAAAGAAAAUUCCCCGAAACAUUAGCAUGGAUUCAAAACUACUGAUAAAUUUGUGAUGGGAUUUCCGCGGAAGAAAUGAUUGUCAUGGUGAAAAAAAUAGUGGGAAAAUAAUUUAAGUGAUUUAAAAGAAGUUACAAGCUAUUUUACGUGAGUUUGACAAGCUUAUUCUAAAUCAAGACGGCAAAAUGAUCACUGCUAAUUAGUUCCGAAAGAAUAACGACGAUCUGGAAAAAAGAACCAUCAUCCAAACGGAAGUAACCGAAAAAAUGCCUGUAAUUCUGGAGUCGAUGUUGAGAAUCGCUGGUGAUAGUUUGCACUUCGUGUUCUGGUGAGAUCGUUCCAACGUCUCCCGUCGGAGGACCAAGGAGACAAACACAGAAACGACGUCAAACAAAGAUUAUUUUAUAUUAUUAUUAGAUGAUCUCAACGCUUCAGAAUUCAAAAAAAAAAAAAGCUUUUUUACGUUUAACUCGCGAUCCUUGUUUUGUAACGCUUAAGCGAACUUACUGUGUUUAAAUAUUAAUGCCCGCUAAUGUAUUAGAAUGUUAUUUGAUUUAUAUGAAUUUUUAGACAUUUAGGAUCACAUUGUUUUACAAAAAAUCAGAACUUUAUUCCUUAUGAUUUUUUAGCGGAGAAAAAAUUUUACAGAAGGUCCUUUUCAUUAUCUUUUUCAUUAUUAUCCUUAUCAAUGAGAUAUCUUUGUUUUUUUGGCGAUUUCCCUGAGGCGAUAUCCAGAUGCAAAGGGUGAAAAUGAAAAUUAAAAAAUAAACUGAAAUCGACAAAGAAAUUAAUAUUGAAAAGUAAUUAUUAAAAUCAAAGAGGAAAUUUGAAAUGAAAAAAUAAGAAAAAAAUCAAGAAAGAAUUAAAAUUAAAAAAUAAAAUUUUUAACUAAAAUUAGAAAAAAAACAAUCCAAUAUUCUUUCUCAAAUUUGUAUUGAAAAUAAUUUGAUUCAAUGUUAAUCUAAAAUAAUUUUUUCCAAUUUUUAUUUUUUAUUUCUUUUUAUAUUAAAUUAUUUUUUAAUUUCCAUUUUUCCAAUAAAUUUAAAAAAAUUCCUCUAAAAUCAAAAAUAAAAUAAAUGUGUUAUUGAUUUAUCAAUAAUUUAAUUUGUUUUCAACGUUUAUGGAAUCGCAGAUAAAUACAGGUAGAUGGAAGGUAUCCGAAUGCGUAUAUAAAUAUAUAGGAAUGUGAAUGUAAUAAUCUAUGACUUCAUGAUAUAUAAAUGUAUGUGUCUAUGUAUAUCUAUACAUAUAUCUAUAAUCUAUGUAACGUUUGAAACUAUUACGAAAAGUAUAUUCAUGUGUGUAAUGCAUUUACGAAGGACUAACAAAACCAGUUCCAACUUACGAAACUCCCUACAAAACAAAAGUAAUCCAUAAUAUUACAUGAUAAUUGACAGAUUGGCACAAAAAAAAUUCAAACAUGAUUUAUAUUACCAAGUAUAUACUAUUCUUGGCAAUAAUAGUAUCUUUCAUGGAACUUCUUAUAACUUGUCAUUGCGAAUGAAAUCAGAAUGAACAGUUAGUCCAACACUCGCUAAUAUCGAUUAUGUAUACCCAUUCAAUGAAUAAAAUCAACUAAAAUAUAAAA